UACGGAGGGUGCAAACGUUGUCCGGAAUCACUGGGCGUAAAGCGCAUGUAGGUGGCUUUGUAAGUGGACGAUUAAAGACCGAUGCUUAACAUCGGGCAUGUUGUCUAUACUGCAUGGCUAGAGAAUGACAGGGGUAAGCGGAACUUUAGGUGUAGGAGUGAAAUCCGUAGAUAUCUAAAGGAACACCAAUGGCGAAGGCAGCUUACUGGGUUUUUUCUGACACUGAGAUGCGAAAGCGUGGGGAGCGAACGGG
rnacentral:rRNA from 1 species